AACGAACGCUGGCGGCAUGCCUAACACAUGCAAGUCGAACGACACCUUAGGGACUAGUGGCGCACGCGUGUGUAGCGCGUCGGAACCGGGCCUUAGGCACGGAAUAACUCUCCUAAGGGGGUGCUAAUGCCGGGUAAUGUAUUCGGACCAAAGAUUCAUCGUCCUUGGAUGGGCACGAGUUGGAUUAACCAGUUGGUAGGGUAAAAGCCUAUCAAAGGUUAGAUACAUAGCCGGGCUGAGAGGAUGAGCAGCCACUCUGGGGGUGAGAAGCGGUCCAGACUACUACAGGAUGCAGCAGUGGGGAAUACUGGAAAAUGGGGUGAAUCCUGAUCCAGUAAUGCCUGGUGAGUGAUGAAGGCCGGAGGGUUGUAAAGCUGUUUUACCCGGGAUGAUAAUGACAGUACCGGGAGAAUAAGCUCCGGCUAACUCCGUG
rnacentral:rRNA from 1 species